ACAGAGGCAGCAAGCCUCAGAGACAACGAUCACCUCAGAUCACGCCACCUCAGGAAACAGCCGAAGAUAGACGAGAACCCAGCAUGUUAGUGGGUCAGAAAACUGUGAUGACGUAGACGCAAGCAUGCCACGUGAUUGAGAUGAUGAAGCACGCAGGCACGCCGUGUAGCUGAAAUGACAAAGCAUGCCUGCCCCCAAUGAUUCAUCUUAUUGCUUGUCAGCAUUGGAACAGCACCUCGCACAUAAGCCACACCACGUUUCAUAGUUAGUGCAUCUCUCAACACAUAAAUACGGUUACUAACUCAGAGACUGGGAAAGCCCCGAGGCUACUGUUCACCUUCUAGACCUGCAGCCAUGGAGAAAGGCGGCUUUCUUUCCGCAGCAUAUGGGCUGCCCCUAGAGGAGCCUGUGAGCAAUCAGAAGGGUGAA
rnacentral:lncRNA from 1 species